rnacentral:rRNA from 1 species
UACGUAGGGUGCAGGCGUUAAUCGGAAUUACUGGGCGUAAAGCGUGCGCAGGCGGUUUCUUAAGUCAGAUGUGAAAGCCCCGGGCUUAACCUGGGAACUGCGUUUGAAACUGGGAGACUUGAGUGUGGCAGAGGGGGGUGGAAUUCCACGUGUAGCAGUGAAAUGCGUAGAGAUGUGGAGGAACACCGAUGGCGAAGGGCAGCCUCCUGGGCCAGCACUGACGCUCAGUGCACGAAAGCGUGGGGAGCAAACAGGA